CAAUAGCGUAUAUUAAAGUUGUUGCGGUUAAAAAGUUCGUAGUUGGAUUUCUGCCAAGGACGACCGGUCCGCCCUCUGGGUGAGUAUCUGGCUUGGCCUCGGCAUCUUCUUGGAGAACGUUGCUGCACUUCACUGUGUGGCGCGGUAUCCAGGACCUUUACUUUGAGGAAAUUAGAGUGUUUCAAGCAGGCAUCUGCCUUGAAUACAUUAGCAUGGAAUAAUAAGAUAGGACCUCGGUUCUAUUUUGUUGGUUUCUAGAGCUGGGGUAAUGAUUAAUAGGGAUAGUUGGGGGCAUUCGUAUUUAACUGUCAGAGGUGAAACUCUUGGAUUUGUUAAAGACGGACUACUGCGAAAGCAUUUGCCAAGGAUGUUUNCAUUG
rnacentral:rRNA from 1 species